GGAUGCGGUGGCGGAGGCAUGAGCCUCAGCGGGCACCGCGGCUGACCGGGUGCCCGCGCUUCACCACCGGUUCGAGUCCAGGCGCCCUCG
rnacentral:tRNA from 1 species